GAUCCUGGCUCAGGAUGAACGCUAGCUACAGGCUUAACACAUGCAAGUCGAGGGGGCAGCGGGAAGUCAGCUUGCUGACUUUGCCGGCGACCGGCGCACGGGUGAGUAACACGUAUCCAACCUCUCGCAUACUCGGGAAUAGCCUUUCGAAAGAAAGAUUAAUGCCCGAUGGUUUCAAGGGAUUGCAUGGUAUCUUGAAUAAAAGAUUCAUCGGUAUGCGAUGGGGAUGCGUU
rnacentral:rRNA from 1 species